AGAGUUUGAUCCUGGCUCAGGAUGAACGCUAGCGGCAGGCUUAAUACAUGCAAGUCGUACGGGAUCCGAGGUAGCAAUACUUUGGUGAGAGUGGCGCACGGGUGCGUAACACGUAUGCAACCUACCUAUAACCGGGACACAACCCACCGAAAGGUGAGCUAAUAUCCCAUAACACUGCGAGAUGGCAUCAUUUUGCAGUUAAAACUCCGGUGGUUACAGAUGGGCAUGCGCGACAUUAGCUAGUUGGUGAGGUAACGGCCCACCAAGGCAACGAUGGGUAGCUGGUCUGAGAGGACGAUCAGCCACACUGGGACUGAGACACGGCCCAGACUCCUACGGGAGGCAGCAGUGGGGAAUCUUGCGCAAUGCGCGAAAGCGUGACGCAGCAACACCGCGUGAGGGAAGACGGCCUUAGGGUUGUAAACCUCUUUCAGAUGGGACGAAGGUUGUCCGGUGAAUAGCCGAGAUGAUUGACGGUACCGUCAGAAGAAGCUCCGGCUAACUACGUGCCAGCAGCCGCGGUAAUA
rnacentral:rRNA from 1 species